GUCAAAAUGUACCCGCAAAUGCAGAAGGUGUAUGCACAUUCAUCUGAACGCAAUAGAGGAGACUCUAUGCUGACAGUAAAGGGUUAAACUUUCAACGCACGGAGUCAUGUGACAAAACAACAUGGUGCUGACCACAGCAGUCUUUGGGAGAAACGGCAACAAAACUACAUCUGACUCAUCAAUCAAUAUCAGAAAACAUCAAAAGACGUUUCCAGAAACUAGUGUGAACUCGCUUCUCUGCAGAAGGGUUUCAUUCAAAGAAGAAGGAAAUGAUACGACAAAAUCCAGAGUGAUUCAUCAUGAUGUGACCUGUCUUCAUCCCUCAAAACUCUCAGCUAAGAAAAUAACUCAAUAAGACUAUUCAUCCAGCCUUGAUACUAUAAAUGGAAGUCCAAACAGACACGUUGGAGGAGCAUGUUCAUGCACAUUUAAUCCUGUCAAUCACAAUGCUUUUAAAGUUGUUCUUCAACAAUUUUUUAAUAUGUUCCUUUAGGUUCACUUAUAAUAUUAGUUAUGUUUUUUGCACAAAAAAACAGUCAUAUAAACAUGAUCAUUUCCACCCUCAUUCUGACCCUCUGUCAGAAAACGCUGUUUUGGUGCUACUUCCCCUUUAAGACUUGACAGUAAACGCCCACUGUUAUGGUUGGCUCUCCGCUCUUGACUGACCUGCUCUCGCCUCUUGGCAUCUCACUGCUCACUGCUGCUGGGCGAGGCUACAAAAGUAAUUCAAGUUAAAGUAAGCAUUGAUGUGCUGUUGAGGAGGCGGCCAGAUGCAAAUGUCUACCACAGUGUGACAUCACAAUAUGGAGGAAUAUGGAGAAAGAGUCAUUUAGGGAGACUGGUUUCAACCAGAGCGUGUGAGCGGAGCAGUAGCUACAGUGGCCCGAGCAACUGCCCCUGUGCCCACAUGGACUGAGGUGCCCCUCUGGGUGAAAUAUAGACUAUAGGCCGACAUUUAUUAAAUUAUCAAAUGAUUAGUUACGUACACAUCUGAAAUUAUGUGAUUGUAUUGUUGUGUUUUUGUAUAUAAAAUCUCGCUGUUUAUUUUGGACUGGUUUACAACUGCUGUUAGAUAAUCAGGUCUACCAGACCUUCCUUAUCAUUUGUAAUCGUCAAAUAUUUCUCUGUUAGCACAUACAGUAUGUCAUUGAACAUCUUCAAAUAAUGCCUUAAAAAAAUCAAUUCUAAAUUACCUUUAUUUACUUUAAACAAGUCAUCAAACAUGCCUCUACAUGUGAAAAAACAUAUGUGCGUUGGCACGGAAACUCGCAUACGCGAAAAUUUGCACUUUUCAAUUUAAACUGGAUCCAAGUGAUACAACCGACCCAGAAAAACACAAUCUUUUCAACUUUAAAGUUUGUUCAAAUCCUUUAUGACAAUAAUGAAAACAUGGACUGGUACCAGGAAAAAUAUUGCAGGUAAAAGUGAAAUUCAGAAUUGUUUUUCAGUUGUCUCCACAGAAUGAUUAUACUGUAGAUUUGAUACAUUAAUAGGUUUCUGAUUUAAUGCUAUCAGACUUUGGGUCUGUAAAUUAAAAUGAGCAAAUUCUCAUCUUAAUUUUGUUUUCAGUUUUAAAGGGUUUAUUAAGUUAUCCAGAAAACAGCAGUGAAUGUUUUUCUCUUUUUCAGUGGUGUUGCUUUAUUAAUAUUCCCUACAAUUUUACAUGUACAAAUCAUAUGCAGUCUAAAGGACUGUGUACAGUAGGAAUUAACCAUGGAUUUAACAAAUAAAAAAUAUUC